AGGGUGUCAUGUUGGAGAAAGUAGAGAACAAAGCAAAAUGUAAAGGAGGAGGGGGGAAUGCGUUGGAAAUAUGCCAAAAAUAACGGCGCAUGUAUUCAAGGAUUCAAAAGCUAAAGACUCAAACAAGCUGACUGGAGAAUCAGGUUGAUUGCAUAAAAUGCCCCAAACCUUAUCCAAGUGUAGGUGUCGAUCACAUGUUUUCACCUCAACACCAAAAGCUGGUGAAAGACUUCAGGACAAAGCGAGAAUAUGGUGCAACCGAAAUCGGUUUAAGCAGAAAAGGAAGACUGAUAAAGCGGAUUUUGUUCCAGUUCAGACAAAGACCGCUCAUGUUCCUCAAGAAGAGGACUGGGAGCAGGAGAUCGAAGAGAUCUCGCGCAGGACGGAGAAGGGGAAAGAAAUGAGCAAUAAGACACCCUAUGAAGUAAAAAUUUCCAGGCCUUGGCUGUACCAAUGAAGGGACUCAGUUUGCUGCUGGUUGUGUAAGUAUUAAGGAUCUGCAUAGGUGUCCCGGAGGUGCCAACAUUGCUAAGAAGAAACUUCUAGAAAGCCAUGAGAACAAAACAACAGAAUCUUACCUCAGAAAUCACCAAGCAACACUAAGAUAACAACAAGGCGAAAACCUUAUUAUAAUUAGCAGUUCCUCUGUAUUUGUACAUACUCUUUUUGCUAUAACUAUUGAAAAGACGACUGGUAAAAAUUAAUCUGUGCAACUCUUAUAGUUUCAAGCCAUUUUAUGUGCACUUCAGGCCACUUUAGGACCUGUUGGUGAGACCAGCCUCUGAUCAAUAUUUGAUCCAGUUUGUU
ensembl:lncRNA